rfam:Phaseolus vulgaris cultivar G19833 chromosome 2, whole genome shotgun sequence.
AUACCUUUCUCGGCCUUUUGGCUAAGAUCAAGUGUAGUAUCUGUUCUUAUCAGUUUAAUAUCUGAUAUGUGGACUAUUAGUUCACACGAUAUUAAAUUAAUUUUUUGAGGGAGAGGGCCAUCAAAGUAGCUUGCUACUUGGUCUCUCAAGCAUCGUCCUUGUGUUGCACUUUUGCAAGGAUCUGGUGCAUCCCAA